UACCAGCACCCCGAGUGGUCGGGACGUUUAUUGGGCCUAAAGCAUCCGUAGCCGGUUCUACAAGUCUUCCGUUAAAUCCAGCUGCUUAACAGAUGGGCUGCGGAAGAUACUAUGGAGCUAGGAGGCGGGAGAGGCAAGCGGUACUCGAUGGGUAGGGGUAAAAUCCGUUGAUCCAUUGAAGACCACCAGUGGCGAAGGCGGCUUGCCAGAACGCGCUCAACGGUGAGGGAUGAAAGCUGGGGGAGCAAACCGG
rnacentral:rRNA from 1 species